rnacentral:misc_RNA from 1 species
AGUUUCAUUUCAAAGGUGGUGCAGAGAUGACAUUGCCAAUAGCAAAUUACUUCUCAUUUGCAGGUGAAAUUGAUGUCAUUUGCUUAACAAUGGUUACAGAUAGUGCUUUUGGCCCUGAAUUAUCUACCGGUCCAUCGAUAAUUCUGGGCAAUUUUCAGAUGCAGAAUUACUUAGUUGAAUUUGAUCUCAAAAAUGAAAAGUUUGGAUUCAAG